rnacentral:pre_miRNA from 1 species
AGUGGAAUAGCUGGGUCAAAUGGUGGUUUCAUUCCAAGUUUUCCAAAGCAUCUCUAUAUUGCUUUUCAGAUUGACUGCACCAAUUUGCAGUCCCACCAGCAAU